UGCAGAAUCCCGUGAACCAUCGAGUUUUUGAACGCAAGUUGCGCCCGAAGCCAUCAGGCCGAGGGCACGUCUGCCUGGGCGUC
rnacentral:rRNA from 2 species